AACCGGGGGAACUGAAACAUCUAAGUACCCCGAGGAAAAGAAAUCAACCGAGAUUCCGAAAGUAGCGGCGAGCGAAAUUGGACUAGCCCUUAAGCUUUACACGCGUUAGACGAACGGUCUGGAAAGUCCGACGAUACAGGGUGAUAGUCCCGUAGUUGACGACGUGUGUUCAGUGAAAUCGAGUAGGGCGGGACACGUGAUAUCCUGUCUGAAUAUGGGGGGACCAUCCUCCAAGGCUAAAUACUACUGACUGACCGAUAGUGAACCAGUACCGUGAGGGAAAGGCGAAAAGAACCCCUGUGAGGGGAGUGAAAUAGAACCUGAAACCGUGUACGUACAAGCAGUAGGAGCAGGCUUUGUCCUGUGACUGCGUACCUUUUGUAUAAUGGGUCAGCGACUUAUAUUCAGUGGCAAGGUUAACCAUCUAGGGGAGCCGUAGGGAAACCGAGUCUUAACUGGGCGUUCAGUCUCUGGAUAUAGACCCGAAACCAGGUGAUCUAGCCAUGGGCAGGUUGAAGGUUGAGUAACAUCAACUGGAGGACCGAACCGACUAAUGUUGAAAAAUUAGCGGAUGACUUGUGGCUAGGGGUGAAAGGCCAAUCAAACCUGGAGAUAGCUGGUUCUCCCCGAAAGCUAUUUAGGUAGCGCCUCGGACGAAUACUACUGGGGGUAGAGCACUGUUAAGGCUAGGGGGUCAUCCCGACUUACCAACCCUUUGCAAACUCCGAAUACCAGUAAGUACUAUCCGGGAGACACACGGCGGGUGCUAACGUCCGUCGUGGAGAGGGAAACAACCCAGACCGCCAGCUAAGGUCCCAAAUUACUACUAAGUGGGAAACGAUGUGGGAAGGCUCAGACAGCCAGGAUGUUGGCUUAGAAGCAGCCAUCAUUUAAAGAAAGCGUAAUAGCUCACUGGUCGAGUCGGCCUGCGCGGAAGAUGUAACGGGGCUAAGUAGUAAACCGAAGCUGCGGCAAUGUGCUUUUGCACAUUGGGUAGGGGAGCGUUCUGUAAGCGGUUGAAGGUGUGUGGUAACGCAUGCUGGACGUAUCAGAAGUGCGAAUGCUGACAUGAGUAACGAUAAAGGGGGUGAAAAACCUCCUCGCCGGAAGACCAAGGGUUCCUGUCCAACGUUAAUCGGGGCAGGGUAAGUCGACCCCUAAGGCGAGGCCGAAAGGCGUAGUCGAUGGGAAACGGGUUAAUAUUCCCGUACUUCUUACAAUUGCGAUGGGGGGACGGAGAAGGCUAGGUGGGCCUGGCGACGGUUGUCCAGGUUCAAGUGCGUAGGCUUAAGAGUUAGGUAAAUCCGGCUCUUUUUAAGGCUGAGACACGACGUCGAGCAUCUACGGAUGUGAAGUCAUUGAUGCCAUGCUUCCAGGAAAAGCCUCUAAGCUUCAGAUUGUAAGGAAUCGUACCCCAAACCGACACAGGUGGUCGGGUAGAGAAUACCAAGGCGCUUGAGAGAACUCGGGUGAAGGAACUAGGCAAAAUGGUACCGUAACUUCGGGAGAAGGUACGCUCUCGACGGUGAAGUCCCUCGCGGAUGGAGCUAUUGAGAGUCGCAGAUACCAGGUGGCUGCAACUGUUUAUUAAAAACACAGCACUGUGCAAAAUCGUAAGAUGACGUAUACGGUGUGACGCCUGCCCGGUGCCGGAAGGUUAAUUGAUGGGGUUAGACUUCGGUCGAAGCUCUUGAUCGAAGCCCCGGUAAACGGCGGCCGUAACUAUAACGGUCCUAAGGUAGCGAAAUUCCUUGUCGGGUAAGUUCCGACCUGCACGAAUGGCGUAAUGAUGGCCACGCUGUCUCCACCCGAGACUCAGUGAAAUUGAAAUCGCUGUGAAGAUGCAGUGUACCCGCGGCUAGACGGAAAGACCCCGUGAACCUUUACUACAACUUGGCACUGAACAUUGACCCUACAUGUGUAGGAUAGGUGGGAGGCUUUGAAGCACGUACGCCAGUAUGUGUGGAGCCGUCCUUGAAAUACCACCCUUGUAGUGUUGAUGUUCUAACGUCGACCCCUUAUCGGGGUUGCGGACAGUGCCUGGUGGGUAGUUUGACUGGGGCGGUCUCCUCCCAAAGAGUAACGGAGGAGCACGAAGGUGGGCUAAUCACGGUUGGACAUCGUGAGGUUAGUGCAAUGGCAUAAGCCCGCUUGACUGCGAGAAUGACAAUUCGAGCAGGUGCGAAAGCAGGUCAUAGUGAUCCGGUGGUUCUGAAUGGAAGGGCCAUCGCUCAACGGAUAAAAGGUACUCCGGGGAUAACAGGCUGAUACCGCCCAAGAGUUCAUAUCGACGGCGGUGUUUGGCACCUCGAUGUCGGCUCAUCACAUCCUGGGGCUGAAGUCGGUCCCAAGGGUAUGGCUGUUCGCCAUUUAAAGUGGUACGCGAGCUGGGUUUAGAACGUCGUGAGACAGUUCGGUCCCUAUCUGCCGUGGGCGUUGGAAGAUUGAAGGGGGCGUGCUCCUAGUACGAGAGGACCGGAGUGGACGAACCUCUGGUGUUCGGGUUGUGUCGCCAGACGCAUUGCCCGGUAGCUAAGUUCGGAAUCGAUAACCGCUGAAAGCAUCUAAGCGGGAAGCGAGCCCUGAGAUGAGUCUUCCCUGAUACUUUAAGUAUCCUAAAGGGUUGUCGGAGACUACGACGUUGAUAGGUCAGGUGUGUAAGUGCUGUGAGGCAUUGAGCUAACUGAUACUAAUUGCCCGUGAGGCUUAACCAUACAACACCUAAGGGGUUU
rnacentral:rRNA from 1 species